rnacentral:rRNA from 1 species
GCACAAGCGGUGGAGCAUGUGGUUAAUUCGACGCAACGCGAAGAACCUUACCAGGGCUUGACAUCCCCUGACCGCGUAUGAAAGUACGUUUUCACCCUCGGGUGACAGGGAGACAGGUGGUGCAUGGUUGUCGUCAGCUCGUGUCGUGAGAUGUUGGGUUAAGUCCCGCAACGAGCGCAACCCCUACGUUUAGUUGCUAACGCGUGAAGGCGAGCACUCUAGACGAACUGCCGUUGACAAAACGGAGGAAGGUGGGAUGACGUCAAAUCAUCAUGCCCCUUGUGUUCUGGGCUACACACGUGCUACAAUGGCCGGUACAGACGGACGCAAAGCCGCGAGGUGGAGCAAAUCCUAAAAAGCCGGUCUCAGUUCGGAUUGCAGGCUGCAAUUCGCCUGCAUGAAGUCGGAAUCGCUAGUAAUCGCAGGUCAGCAUACUGCGGUGAAUACGUUCCCGGGCCUU